UCAGCCGCCGCGGUAAUACCAGCAGCCCAAGUGGUGGCCGCGCUUAUUGGGCCUAAAGCGCUCGUAGCCUGGCCGGUAAGUUCCCCGUGAAAUCGGGUCGCCCAACGAUUCGGCUUGCGGGGAAUACUGUCGGUCUUGGGGCCGGGAGACGCCGAGGGUACUCCGGGGGUAGCGGUGAAAUGCUGUAAUCCUCGGGGGACUACCAGUGGCGAAGGCGCUCGGCGAUAACGGGCCUGACGGUGAGGGGCGAAAGCUGGGGGCGCGAACGGGAUUAGAUACCCCGGUAGUCCCAGCCGUAAAGGAUGCGGGCAAGGUGCUCGUCGCUCUUCGAGGGCGUCGGGUGCCGUAGAGAAGUCGUUAAGCCCGCCGCCCGGGAAGUACGGUCGCAAGGCUGAAACUUAAAGGAAUUGGCGGGGGAGCACA
rnacentral:rRNA from 1 species